GAGAAGAUGAUGGUGAAUCAUUCUACACGUGGCUGGAAGAAACCUGGGGUAAACCUAGCUGGGGACCUAAUAUGAAAGAAUUUAAAUGGUGCUUUGACCCUGUGGAAACUAAGGGAGAAGGUCCAAGAAGGCUUAAGGAUCUAUACUUUCUAUACUUAAUUGAGCUUCAAGCUUUAUCAAAGGUG